UACAGUUCAAGCUUUUCAAUGCUGGUUUGGUGUUAACAUAAGACCUACAAGAACAUUUUAUUGAUAUAAUCGUAUAAACAUUUGAAUUGAAAAUUUCAAAAGAAAAAUCCUGAAUGGGCAUCUAAGGGCUAUCCUCAAAGACAGAAAUAUCCAGGUAUCUAAGGGCUAUCCUCAAAGACAGAAUAUUCAGCUAUCUAAGGCUAUCCUCAAGAAGAAAUAUUCAGCAUCUAAGCUAUCUCAAAGACAGGAAUAUUCAGGCAUCUAAGGGCUAUCCUCAAAGACAGGAAUAUUCAGCAUCUGAGGGCUAUCCUCACAGACAGAAAUAUUCAGGUAUCUAAGGGCUAUCCUCAAAGACAGGAAUAUUCUAACUUGUCAGGUCAGCAGUUUG
rnacentral:lncRNA from 1 species